rnacentral:misc_RNA from 1 species
GAAAAUUCUCGAAGCAAACGCUUCAGAAACACUGUGUGCACCGUUUUCUGUCUCUGGCAGGACCAGGGAGCAGCGAUGCUCUCCCCUGCCAAAGGAGUGGGAGCUGCCCUUCGGGCGACUUCCAUUCUGAUUUGAACAACCCUAUGUUUGUUUCAAUUUGUCUGAAUAAUUCUUCACCUAGUGUGAGAAAUUGAAAACAACUUUUGGCAACGGAUCUCUUGGCUCUCGCAACGAUGAAGAACGCAGCGAAUUGCGAUAAGUAAUGUGAAUUGCAGAAUUCAGUGAAUCAUCGAAUCUUUGAACGCACAUUGCGCUCCUGGGUAUUCCUGGGAGCAUGCCCGUUUGAGAAUCAGUGAAAACCUCAACACCUUCUGUGCUUCCUAGUGAAACAGGGUUGGCUGUUGGACUUGGGUCAUUUGCGAACAGGUGUUUCUGAUGCGGGGGAUUGUUGAUGUUAGUGCUUUCGGGUUCGCCCGAGGGGGGGCACUGACCUUGACAUGCAUCCAGGGGUGUAAGCACCGCAAAGCAAUGAUCUUAAAUUCAAUGUCCGCUGCUCCUUCGUAAGUAGGUGCAUUGGCCCGAGUGCUGGAAUGGUCUCACGACUUUUUUUAUCUCUCGAGUCCGCAUUUGCAGACGGUGUGAUGUCGGUGUGAACUCACAACUGAUUGUAAAGAGAACUGGUUCCGUAAGGUUCCUUCUCUCAACUUGGUCUCAAAUCGGGUAGGAGAACCCGCUGAACUUAAGCAUAUCAAUAAGCGGAGGAAUCGCGAUCUUGGUCAUUUAGAGGAAGUAAAAGUCGUAACAAGGUCUUCGUAGGUGAACCUGCGGAGGGAUCAUUACCGAGUUAGGGCCUCAGGCCCGAACCUCCCAACCCAUUGUUAUCAUAACUCAGUUGCUUCGGGCAGGCCUGUCUUGACCGGCCUGAGGCCCCCCCCGGAGCCUGCCGACCCCACUUCAAAAUUCUUACUACAUGUCUUGAGUCUGAGUAAAGAUCUUUAAAUAAAUCA